UGAAUAGGGAGGAUGGUGCAUGGGGGUCGUGCCAUUUUUUUGGUCAAAAACUGCCGAACACUCAGUGUAGUAGGAGUAGGUAUGCUCAUAAAUCACCCAUAUAAAAUAGGCAAACAUUGAGCCUUAAAUAA